CGGSAUGGCGCAGCUUAMCAUGCAAGUCGAGCGGGSRAGGUUGCUUCGGUAACUGASCUAGCGGCGGACGGGUGAGUAAUGCUUAGGAAUCUGCCUAUUAGUGGGGGACAACAUUCCGAAAGGAAUGCUAAUACCGCAUACGUCCUACGGGAGAAAGCAGGGGAUCAUUUGACCUUGCGCUAAUAGAUGAGCCUAAGUCGGAUUAGCUAGUUGGUGGGGUAAAGGCCUACCAAGGCGACGAUCUGUAGCGGGUCUGAGAGGAUGAUCCGCCACACUGGGACUGAGACACGGCCCAGACUCCUACGGGAGGCAGCAGUGGGGAAUAUUGGACAAUGGGGGGAACCCUGAUCCAGCCAUGCCGCGUGUGUGAAGAAGGCCUUUUGGUUGUAAAGCACUUUAAGCGAGGAGGAGGCUCUCUUGGUUAAUACCUGAGAAGAGUGGACGUUACUCGCAGAAUAAGCACCGGCUAACUCUGUGCCAGCAGCCGCGGUAAUACAGAGGGUGCGAGCGUUAAUCGGAUUUACUGGGCGUAAAGCGCGCGUAGGUGGCUAAUUAAGUCAAAUGUGAAAUCCCCGAGCUUAACUUGGGAAUUGCAUUCGAUACUGGUUGGCUAGAGUAUGGGAGAGGAUGGUAGAAUUCCAGGUGUAGCGGUGAAAUGCGUAGAGAUCUGGAGGAAUACCGAUGGCGAAGGCAGCCAUCUGGCCUAAUACUGACACUGAGGUGCGAAAGCAUGGGGAGCAAACAGGAUUAGAUACCCUGGUAGUCCAUGCCGUAAACGAUGUCUACUAGCCGUUGGGGGAUUUGAUCCUUUAGUGGCGCAGCUAACGCGAUAAGUAGACCGCCUGGGGAGUACGGUCGCAAGACUAAAACUCAAAUGAAUUGACGGGGGCCCGCACAAGCGGUGGAGCAUGUGGUUUAAUUCGAUGCAACGCGAAGAACCUUACCUGGCCUUGACAUAGUAGAAACUUUCCAGAGAUGGAUUGGUGCCUUCGGGAAUCUACAUACAGGUGCUGCAUGGCUGUCGUCAGCUCGUGUCGUGAGAUGUUGGGUUAAGUCCCGCAACGAGCGCAACCCUUUUCCUUACUUGCCAGCAUUUCGGAUGGGAACUUUAAGGAUACUGC
rnacentral:rRNA from 1 species